rnacentral:lncRNA from 1 species
AAGUCCACAUAAAUGGCGGCAUUGAUGAUGUGGAUUAUCUAAUUUAUCCGCUCAAAUUCAGCUAAAAUUUCGGUGAAAUUCAUAUUCCAGUCAAUUUCACCGUUCCAGGAAUAUUUUGGCAAUUUCAAGCCAGCAAACAGUGAGCUGUUGAUCGUGGGAAGACCAUAGGAUCGCCCCGAUCAUAACGAUUUCCCCUAUCCCGCUAAGCUAUAAGGCGGCAUCGGCUUCAAAAUUUGCUCAGUUUCUUUCUACCGCAAGCGCCGAGCUGUUGCGCCGUGCCGAAGGUGUGCGACUUUGAAUGUCGAUUUUCGUGUCAUUAAAAUGGAUUUAAAUCGCACACAAUCCCCUUAAAUUUUCGGAAAUCGUUUAUUCAGUGUUAGUUGUGUUGAUAAUCAACUCUAGAUACCCUAAGGACUGCAAAACGGAAUUAUUGUCAACGAAGACUCCAGUUGUCCUUAUUUCCUGCGAAGACAAGUUUCUUACUCUCAAAGAAGUAAGAAACCCGCUGGUAUGCUGCUUCUGAGCUAAAUACUCCAUCUCUAAUCUCUCCAAUCUUGGUUGACGAAUAAUUUUCUAAGACCUCCAAGAUGCAGCAUGAAACAGCUCCCGGCAGUCCUGUCGAUGUCAAACCAGAGAUUGAUAUCAAGCCAGAAGUCGAUGUCAAACCAGACCUCUCCACCGUCAACAACAACAUUAAUAGUAACAACAAAGUAACUACGAACAAUACAGCAAGCACUGGCGGACCUACAGCCGGCGCAAAAGUGGUUCCUCCUCCACGAAUCGAGCCUGUCGUGAAGCCUAUCAAUGGAGUUGUACAGCUCCAGUUCUGCCACCUCCCAACCGACCAGGGCGGAACACUAAUCAGCUCCAGUUCAUCCUUAAGAAUGUGUUCCGAGCUGUCUGGAAGCAUCAACAUUCAUGGCCGUUCCAGCAGCCCGUCGAUGCCAACAAACUUAAUUUACCAGAUUAUCAUAAAGUUGUAACAAGACCAAUGGACCUGGGGACAAUCAAGAAACGAUUAGAGAAUAAUUAUUACUGGUGUGGGCAGGAAUGUAUUGAUGACUUCAACACCAUGUUCAACAAUUGUAUGAUG